rnacentral:rRNA from 1 species
CAGCCGCCGCGGUAAUACGAAGGGGGCUAGCGUUGUUCGGAAUUACUGGGCGUAAAGCGCACGUAGGCGGAUAUUUAAGUCAGGGGUGAAAUCCCAGAGCUCAACUCUGGAACUGCCCUUGAUACUGGGUAUCUUGAGUAUGGAAGAGGUGAGUGGAAUUCCGAGUGUAGAGGUGAAAUUCGUAGAUAUUCGGAGGAACACCAGUGGCGAAGGCGGCUCACUGGUCCAUUACUGACGCUGAGGUGCGAAAGCGUGGGGAGCAAACAGGAUUAGAUACCCCAGUAGUCCCUGUCUCUUAUAC